CAGCCUGCAACUCGGCUGCACGAANCCGGAAUCGCUAGUAAUCGCAGAUCAGCAUGCUGCGGUGAACACGUUCCCGGGUCUUGUACACACCGCCCGUCACACCAUGGGAGCCGGGAAUGCCCGAAGCCAGUGACCCAACCUUAGGGAGGGAGCUGUCGAAGGUGGAGCCGGUAACUGGGGUGAAGUCGUAACAAGGUAAC
rnacentral:rRNA from 1 species